rnacentral:misc_RNA from 1 species
GAUCGCGGCCAAUGCGCCCUGCUCCACGCUGUUUGUGGCCAAUCUGGGGCAAUUCGUCUCGGAGCACGAGCUGAAGGAGGUGUUCUCUAGCAACAGCAACAGCAGCAGCAUCAGCAGCAAGCAACAAUCC